ensembl:snRNA U6 U6 spliceosomal RNA
GUGCUCACUUUCGCAGCACAUGUACUAAAAUUGGAACCAUGCGGAAAAGAUUAGCAUGGCCUCUGUGCAAGGAUGACACAUAAAUUGUGAAGCGUUCCAUAUUAAA